GAUCUAGCUACAGCAUAUGUCACCCUGUUUAUCGCCAGGAUUGAUUCGACUGAUCUGGCUGGUUAGGCCAGCGUCCCCUUUCU
rnacentral:snRNA from 1 species